GAUCAUGGCUCAGAUUGAACGCUGGCGGCAGGCCUAACACAUGCAAGUCGAGCGGAAACGAGUUAUCUGAACCUUCGGGGGACGAUAACGGCGUCGAGCGGCGGACGGGUGAGUAAUGCCUAGGAAAUUGCCUUGAUGUGGGGGAUAACCCUUGGAAACGAUGGCUAAUACCGCAUAAUGCCUACGGGCCAAAGAGGGGGGACCUUCGGGCCUCUCGCGUCAAGAUAUGCCUAGGUGGGAUUAGCUAGUUGGUGAGGUAAUGGCUCACCAACGGCGACGAUCCCUAGCUGGUCUGAGAGGAUGAUCAGCC
rnacentral:rRNA from 2 species